UUGGCUGGUGUGGAGUGAGCGCAGUCAGAAGACAGAAACUCUGUCUAAACUGCGGGCACAGCAGAGACUUUAGGAAAGGAAAGCUUGCGUUGACUUUGUUUUGUUUUAUUUUAUUUUAUUUUUGUUUUAGUCGAAUUUUUAAGAGCAUUUUAAAAAAACAAACUAUGAGUCGUGACUGUAAUGUGAUCUAAAUACAUGUCACUAUGGAGAUGGCUAUCAGUGUAUGUGACACGGGCUAAAAGUUCAUCACACUCGUAAAUAUGACAAGGGUUUCUCUAUAAAGCCCUGGCUGUCGGGACCAGGCUGUGCUUGAACUCAGAGAUUCACCUGCUCUGCCUCCCUAGUGCUGGGACUAAAGGUGGUCACCACUUCCACCCAGCAUGAGAUGAUGAUUCUUAAAAGCAUGUCUUUUGUUCUGCAGCCUUGCCUGGAGUUUACUGUUGUUCUUUCAGGUGGGUUCUGAAUGUUUCGAAGAGUUGGCCAAAUUUCAUUUCUGAUUAGAAAGGCAAGAGAAAGCAAUGUCAAUCAUGACUCCAUGAUGAUGCCUGUGAGCAGGGGGUAACACCACGUGGCGGAGUGGGUCUGGGGGAAGAUCGGUUGCUUGGUUUGGACAUAGGGAGCUUACAGUAGCCUCUGGAUGAAUGAGCUAUAUGUAGUGACCCAGUCUUUUUUUUGUUCUCUUGACUCUGUGUUCUUUCAUUAAACUCCAAGGUAGCUAAGAAAAGAAGCCUGGGAAUGAAUUCAAAUCCCCUAAUGUAAAGACCCAAUUUAAACGGAGCAAAUAAGGCCAGGCUGAGCCAAUCAAGAGGCUCCUGAAUCCACAUAUCUUGGGCUCCAAACAUGGCUGUCGCUCCACGUGGGUGGGCCAGUCCUCCUGAAGUGUGUGAGGAGGACCAGCGUUUCCACUUCUAACCUUUUGUAUACCUAUAAAAAGACUACUUUGUGUCAGAUGUGGUGUGUGUCUGGAAUCUCAACAACUCGGAAACUGGAGAAGGACUCUAAUGUGGCUAGCCCGGGGAUCUUGACUAGAUUCCGUUUCAAAACGCACAAAAUGGAGGGACUAAGGAUACAGCUUAAUGGUAAAGAAAGCGCU